GGGGAAUAUUGCACAAUGGGGGAAACCCUGAUGCAGCCAUGCCGCGUGUGUGAAGAAGGCCUUCGGGUUGUAAAGCACUUUCAGUAGGGAGGAAGGGUUGAUGUCUAAUACGCAUCAGCAUUGACGUUACCUACAGAAGAAGCACCGGCUAACUCCGUGCCAGCAGCCGCGGUAAUACGGAGGGUGCAAGCGUUAAUCGGAAUAACUGGGCGUAAAGCGCACGCAGGCGGUUAGAUAAGUCAGAUGUGAAAUCCCCGGGCUCAACCUGGGAACUGCAUUUGAAACUGUCUGACUAGAGUCUUGUAGAGGGGGGUAGAAUUCCAGGUGUAGCGGUGAAAUGCGUAGAGAUCUGGAGGAAUACCGGUGGCGAAGGCGGCCCCCUGGACAAAGACUGACGCUCAGGUGCGAAAGCGUGGGGAGCAAAC
rnacentral:rRNA from 1 species